rnacentral:rRNA from 1 species
ACGCUGGCGGCGUGCCUAACACAUGCAAGUCGAACGAGAAAGUGGAGCAAUCCAUGAGUAAAGUGGCGACCGGGUGAGUAACACGUGACUAACCUACCUCCGAGUGGGGAAUAACUCCGGGAAACCGGGGCUAAUACCGCAUAACAUCGCAAGAUCAAAGCAGCAAUGCGCUUGGAGAGGGGGUCGCGGCUGAUUAGCUAGUUGGCGGGGUAACGGCCCACCAAGGCGAAGAUCGGUAUCCGGCCUGAGAGGGCGCACGGACACACUGGAACUGAAACACGGUCCAGACUCCUACGGGAGGCAGCAGUGGGGAAUUUUGCGCAAUGGGGGAAACCCUGACGCAGCAACGCCGCGUGGAGGAUGAAGCCCUUUGGGGCGUAAACUCCUUUCGACUCGGACGAUAAUGACGGUACGAGUGGAAGAAGCACCGGCUAACUCUGUGCCAGCAGCCGCGGUAAUACAGAGGGUGCAAGCGUUGUUCGGAAUUAUUGGGCGUAAAGGGCGCGUAGGCGGUGCGGUAAGUCACCUGUGAAAUCUCCUGGCUUAACUGGGAGCCUGCAGGCGAAACUACCGUGCUG